ensembl:lncRNA
CCACAUUUUCUUUAUCCAGUCUAUCAUUGGUGCAGAACUUGGAGGUUUGUUACAUAGGUAUACAUGUGCCAUGGUGGUUUGCUGCAUCCUUCACUUCAUCAUCUACAUUAGGUAUUUCUGCUAAUGCUAUCCCUCCCCUGUCUUCUAUCCCCUACUAUGCCUUCCCUAGCCCUCCACCCCCUAAGAGGCCCCAGUGUGUGGCAUUCCCCUCCCUGUGUCCAUGUGUUCUCAUCAUUCAACACCCACUCAUGAGUGAAAACAUGCAGUGUUUGGUUUUCUGUUCUUGUGUCAGUUUGCUGAUAAUGAUGGUUUCCAGUUUCAUCCAUGUCCCUGCAAAGGACAUGAACUCAUCCUUGUUUAUGGCUGCAUAGUAUUCCAUGGUGUAUAUGUGCCACAUUUUCUUUAUUCAGUCUAUCAUUGAUGGGCAUUUGGGUUGGUUCCAAGUCUUUGCUCUUAUGAACAUUGCCACAAUAAACAUACCUGUGUAUGUGUCUUUAUAAUAGAAUGAUUUAUACUCCUUUGGGUAUAUACCCAGUAAUGGGAUUUCAGAGUCAAAUGAUAUUUCUAUUUCUAGAUCCUUGAGGAAUCCCCACACUGUCUUCCACAAUGGUUGAACUAAUUUACACUCCCCCAACAGUGUAAAAGCUUUCCUAUUUGUCCACAUCCUCUCCAGCAUCUGUUGUCUCCUGACUUUUUAAUGAUCACCUUUCUAACUGGUGUGAGAUGGUAUCUCAGUGUAAUUUUGAUUUGCAUUUCUCUAAUGACCAAUGAUAAUGAGCUUUAUUUUAUAUGAAAUAUGAGAAGUGUCUGUUCAUAUCCUUCACCCACUUUUUGAUAGGGUUGUUUUUUGUUUGUUUGUUUGUAAAUUUGUUUAAGUUCUUUGAAGAUUCUGGAUAUUAGCCCUUUGUCAGAUGGGUAGAUUGCAAAAAUUUUUUCCCAUUCUCUUGGUUGUUGAUUCACUCUAAUGAUAGUUUCUUUUGCUGUGCAGAAACUCUAGUUUAAUUAGAUCCUAUUUAUCUAUUUUGACUUUUGUUCCCAUUGCUUUUGGUGUUUUAGUCAUGAAGUCCUUGCGCAUGUCUAUGUCCUGAAUGAUAUUGCCAGGUUUUCUUCUAGGGUUUUUAUGGUAUUAGAUCUUAUGUUUAAAUCUUUAAUCUAUCUGGAGUUAAUUUUUGUAUAAGGUGUAAGGAAGGGAUCCAGUUUCAGCUUUCUGCAUUUGGCUAGCCAGUUUUCCCAACACCAUUUAUUAAAUAGGGAAUCCUUUCCCCAUUGCUUGUUGUUGUCAGGUUUGUCAAAGAUCAGAUGGUUGCAGAUGUGUGGCAUUAUUUCUGAGGCCUCUCUUUUAUUCCAUUGGUCUAUAUCUCUAUUUUAGUACCAGCACCAUGCUGUUUUGAUUACUGUAGGCUUGUAGUGAAAAAGUGGGCUGGGCUCGGUGACUCAGGCCUGUAAUCCCAGCACUUUCAGAGGCCAAAUCAUAUAAAUCACUAUGUCAGGUACUCAAGACCAGCGUGGCCAAGAUGGUGAAAUCCUGUCUCUACAGAAAACACAAAAAUUAGCAAGGUGUGGUGGUAAGUGUCUGUAAUCCCAGCACAGAGGCAGGAGAAUUGCUUGAACCUGAGAGGCGGAGGUUGCGGUACACUGACAUCAGCCAUUGCACUCCAGCCUGGGUGACAGAGCAAGAUUCCAUCUAAUAAAAAAAUAAUAAUAAAGUGAAUGUUGAAUAGGUAGAUAAUAUUUAAAUACUUGUGUGAUUUGUUUUGG